rnacentral:rRNA from 1 species
AGUGAACGCUGGCGGUAGGCCUAACACAUGCAAGUCGAACGGCAGCACAGUAAGAGCUUGCUCUUACGGGUGGCGAGUGGCGGACGGGUGAGGAAUACAUCGGAAUCUACUUUUUCGUGGGGGAUAACGUAGGGAAACUUACGCUAAUACCGCAUACGACCUACGGGUGAAAGCAGGGGAUCUUCGGACCUUGCGCGAUUGAAUGAGCCGAUGUCGGAUUAGCUAGUUGGCGGGGUAAAGGCCCACCAAGGCGACGAUCCGCAGCUGGUCUGAGAGGAUGAUCAGCCACACUGGAACUGAGACACGGUCCAGACUCCUACGGGAGGCAGCAGUGAGGAAUAUUGGACAAUGGGCGCAAGCCUGAUCCAGCCAUACCGCGUGGGUGAAGAAGGCCUUCGGGUUGUAAAGCCCUUUUGUUGGGAUAGAAAAGCAGCAGGUUAAUACCCCGCUGUUCUGACGGUACCCAAAGAAUAAGCACCGGCUAACUUCGUG